rnacentral:lncRNA from 1 species
CGUGUCGCGCAUGGCCGCGCGCCCGCACUUUGCAAAGGAUUCAACGGGUCGGUUUCGUGCGCACAUCGCAUUCUCUGUGUGUUCCUGCGUUGAUGGCUCAGCUUUGUUUUGGUGCUUUCAGACAUUCACGUACUAAUCACAGACAUGGGAAGACUAUAAGACGUCAAGAUGAAAGGCUCCUAGCAGCUCUCAGUGUUCCCAACGAAACUGGCAGAAUGGCAGUGGCCGAUUACAAGCUGCCUUUGGUGAACAAAGAAACCGUGACCACAUUAGAAUCCGAGCAGAGCUCCAAUCCUGCAUUCUGAUGACACCUUAUGCAUCAAAGGAUACUGGACCUGCCGCCAGCUGACAUGCCUUUCUUCCUCCUUAGUUCUGUUAAGAUGUGGGUUCAGUUUUUCUAGACAUGC